GACGAAGGGGGCUAGCGUUGUUCGGAAUUACUGGGCGUAAAGCGCGUGUAGGCGGUUGUCCAAGUCGGGUGUGAAAGCCUUGAGCUCAACUCAAGAAAUGCACUCGAUACUGGGUGACUUGAGGACCGGAGAGGAUAGUGGAAUUCCCUGUGUAGUGGUGAAAUACGUAGAGAUUGGGAAGAACACCAGUGGCGAAGGCGGCUAUCUGGACGGUUUCUGACGCUAAGACGCGAAAGCGUGGGGAGCAAACAGG
rnacentral:rRNA from 1 species